rnacentral:rRNA from 1 species
GAGUAACACGUGAGCAAUCUGCCCUUGACUCUGGGAUAACUGCGGGAAACUGUAGCUAAUACCGGAUACGACACCUUGGGGCAUCCCGAGGUGUGGAAAGAAUUUCGGUCAAGGAUGAGCUCGCGGCCUAUCAGCUUGUUGGUGAGGUAAAAGCUCACCAAGGCGACGACGGGUAGCCGGCCUGAGAGGGUGACCGGCCACACUGGAACUGAGAUACGGUCCAGACUCCUACGGGAGGCAGCAGUGGGGAAUAUUGCACAAUGGGCGCAAGCCUGAUGCAGCAACGCCGCGUGAGGGAUGAAGGCCUUCGGGUUGUAAACCUCUUUUAUCAGGGAAGAAGCGAAAGUGACGGUACCUGAAGAAAAAGCACCGGCUAACUACGUGCCAGCAGCCGCGGUAAUACGUAGGGUGCAAGCGUUGUCCGGAAUUAUUGGGCGUAAAGAGCUCGUAGGCGGUUUGUCGCGUCUGCUGUGAAAAUCCAAGGCUCAACCUUGGACCUGCAGUGGGUACGGGCAGACUAGAGUGCGGUAGGGGAGAUGGGAAUUCCUGGUGUAGCGGUGGAAUGCGCAGAUAUCAGGAGGAACACCAAUGGCGAAGGCACAUCUCUGGGCCGUAACUGACGCUGAGGAGCGAAAGCGUGGGGAGCGAACAGGAUUAGAUACCCUGGUAGUCCACGCCGUA